rnacentral:tRNA from 1 species
GCCCAGCUAGUUCAAUCAGUAGAGCAUGAGAUUCUUAAUUUCAGGGUUGUAGGCUUGUGCCCCACGUUGGGUG